GAUGAACGCUGGCGGUAUGCUUAACACAUGCAAGUCGAACGGUCUCUUCGGAGAUAGUGGCGGACGGGUGAGUAACGCGUAAGAAUCUGCCUAUAGGUUCGGGACAACAGUUAGAAAUGACUGCUAAUACCGGAUGUGCCGAGAGGUAAAAGCUUUAGUGCCUGUAGAUGAGCUUGCGUUCGAUUAGCUAGAUGGUGGGGUAACGGCCUACCAUGGCGACGAUCGAUAACUGGUCUGAGAGGAUGACCAGUCACACUGGGACUGAGACACGGCCCAGACCCCUACGGGAGGCAGCAGUGGGGAAUUUUCCGCAAUGGGCGAAAGCCUGACGGAGCAAUACCGCGUGAGGGACGAAGGUCUGUGGAUUGUAAACCUCUUUUGUUGGGGAAGAUAAUGACGGUACCCAACGAAUAAGCAUCGGCUAACUCCGUGCCAGCAGCCGCGGUAAGACGGAGGAUGCGAGCGUUAUCCGGAAUUAUUGGGCGUAAAGCGUACGUAGGCUGUUUCAUAAGUCUGUUGUCAAAGCGCGAGGCUCAACCUCGUAAAGGCAAUGGAAACUGCGAGACUAGAGAGAGAUAGGGGCAGGAGGAAUUCCAGGUGUAGCGGUGAAAUGCGUAGAUAUCUGGAAGAACACCAGUGGCGAAAGCGUCCUGCUGGAUCUCAACUGACGCUGAAGUACGAAAGCUAGGGGAGCGAAUGGGAUUAGAUACCCCAGUAGUCCUAGCCGUAAACGAUGGGUACUAGGUGUUGGUCG
rnacentral:rRNA from 1 species